rnacentral:rRNA from 1 species
GACGGGGGAUGCAAGCGUUAUCCGGAAUCACUGGGCGUAAAGCGUCUGUAGGUGGUGAUGCAAGUCACUGGUGCAAAACUCUGGCUCAACCGGAGGAGAGCCAGUGAAACUGCAUGACUAGAGUGUGGGAGAGGUAGAAGGAAUUCCAUGAGUAGCGGUGAAAUGCGUAGAUACAGGGAAGAACACCGGAGGCGAAAGCGUUCUACUGGAACACAACUGACACUGAGAGAAGAAAGCUAGGGGAGCGAAUGGG